UAUUCACCAGGUUCCAGGCAUUGACAUGAUACGACAUAGAAAAAAGCAACAGCAGGAGCAGGGAAACUACUCAGGCAUCUGUUGUAAUAGUCCCAGUGGUAGAUGAGGGACUGGAACUAAGAUUAACAUACUCUCCUUGCAGACAGAGGCAACCUUGGAGGAAGAACUGACAGGACUGACUGAUGGAGUGGAUGUAGGGUACAAAGAAAAGCCAGAAGCCAAAGAAGUCCCCAGCUUUGGGUAUGGAUCCUAAAGGCAAUCCCUAAUGAAUUCCUGCCAUCUCAUAGUCUGCUUCCCACGAACCCAACCUACAACAAGCAGCUAGAGUUCAAAAAUCAGAAGUUCUCCCACACAUCUUCCAUACUCCUGUAAACAGAAAUGAAGGCUUUCUCAGGAAGCCCCCAGCCACCAUGUCCAGGUGCAGGGGUCA